UACAGAGGUCUCAAGCGUUGUUCGGAUUCAUUGGGCGUAAAGGGUGUGUAGGUGGCGCGCUAAGUCGGGGUGUGAAAUUUCGGAGCUUAACUCCGAAACUGCAUUCGAUACUGGCGUGCUUGAGGACUGGAGAGGAGACUGGAAUUCAUGGUGUAGCAGUGAAAUGCGUAGAGAUCAUGAGGAAGACCCAGUGGCGAAGGCGGGUCUCUGGACAGU
rnacentral:rRNA from 1 species